rnacentral:rRNA from 1 species
GACGAACGCUGGCGGCGUGCUUAACACAUGCAAGUCGAACGGAAAGGCCCUGCUUUUGUGGGGUGCUCGAGUGGCGAACGGGUGAGUAACACGUGAGUAACCUGCCCUUGACUUUGGGAUAACUUCAGGAAACUGGGGCUAAUACCGGAUAGGAGCUCCUGCUGCAUGGUGGGGGUUGGAAAGUUUCGGCUGUUGGGGAUGGACUCGCGGCUUAUCAGCUUGUUGGUGGGGUAGUGGCUUACCAAGGCUUUGACGGGUAGCCGGCCUGAGAGGGUGACCGGCAACAUUGGGACUGAGAUACGGCCCAGACUCCUACGGGAGGCAGCAGUGGGGAAUAUUGCACAAUGGGCGGAAGCCUGAUGCAGAAACGCCGCGUGCGGGAUGACGGCCUUCGGGUUGUAAACCGAUUUCGCCUGUGACGAAGCGUGAGUGACGGUAAUGGGUAAAGAAGCACCGGCUAACUACGUG